CCUGAUUACUGAGGACACAUUUUGGUUGGUUGCAAUUAAAAUGCUUGUCAGGCAUUCGAUACCAGGAAUCCUUUUGACAGGCUGCUUAAGCUGAGAGGCGAGCGCAGCAUCCCAUUGUAAGUGGAUGAUGGCGGAGUUGGCUGCCUUGCCAUCUUUCUGGAAAAUUCGGUGGCCGGCAAGCUCCCUCUGUGCUUGUCACUCGGCCUCGUUUCCUUUUCACCACUGUGGGGACUUUCUCUAAUUUGCUGUUUCCCUCUUUCCCGGCACAUUUACGGAAGCUGCAAGCUGUUGGCUAGCAGACUGUGUCUGCCUGAAGGUAGACAGUGAGCUCAUGAAGAUUAACGCUGCUUUGGGAGAAUGAGUAUGCUGCAGUUACUUAAGGAUAUGCCUUUGUGGUAUUGCAGCAACAGCGCUGGUAAUGAUUCCCCUUUUCUCUGCCACCCCCUUUGUUUUACCAUCAGCUUUCUGUGAUUUCCUUUUUAAAAUACCUGCAAUAUGCUGAGUCUUUUCUGCCAUUAGGUGCAGAAUGUGCCAAUAUUAGUGAAAGCCAGACUUUGCACAUAAGGCAUGGGGUGUAGCUCUGUUUCUAUUCUGAAGAUUUUUUUUUAAUGUGUGGAGGUUUGGCCAUUUUUUUGCAUGGGCUUUUGUGGAAUUUGUUUUGUUUAACUGAUGCAAGGAUGGGAGGUUGUGUUGAAAUGGGAGAACAGACCUUCCCUGUGUAAUGAUUUUAAUUUGGGUGGGUGGUGGCUUCUCUUGCAGAUCCUCCAGCCGAUUCUUUCUAGUGUGAGAUAUUGGUCGGGUUUGACUGGGUUGCAGACAAAAGGACAUUGAAUCUUUUCUUGAUUUCUUCAGGACAAAUCAUAGGAAUUACUACCACCUUCAUAAUUAGGUAAGUCUGUUUUUCCUGUUUUCCUGUUGUGGGGAGCCACACUUGCUUUAAAGAAGAGCUUGGCAACUAGAGUGGAUCUUGGGUUGCAACCCUCUCCUGCACUAUGCUCCAUCAGAUAUUUGCUGGAGGCAGCAAAGGGCAAUAAAACCUGUGAUUUUUUGCCAAAAGCAAGGCACAUGCGGAGGG
rnacentral:lncRNA from 11 species